rnacentral:rRNA from 1 species
UACGGAGGGUGCAAGCGUUAUCCGGAUUCACUGGGUCUAAAGGGUGCGUAGGUGGGUUGGUAAGUCAGUGGUGAAAUCUCCGAGCUUAACUUGGAAACUGCCAUUGAUACUAUCAGUCUUGAAUAUUGUGGAGGUCAGCGGAAUAUGUCAUGUAGCGGUGAAAUGCUUAGAUAUGACAUAGAACACCAAUUGCGAAGGCAGCUGGCUACGCAUAUAUUGACACUGAGGCACGAAAGCGUGGGGAUCAAACAGG